ACCAGGCUGAAGCUAGCGAACAAUAACUAGCGAACAAUAAGCCAGCGAACAAUAAGGCGAUAUAUCUAAAAACCGAAAAAAUGAAUAAGACAGCAACGGCCGUUAAAUGAAAAAUAUUUAAACAGGCAGAAAUUCCGUCCAAAUAUUGCAAUUUCAACUCUAUCAUGAAAUGGUAUUUAUCCCAUCCAUUGAUAAAACAAGUCACAUCUCUUUUUAGGCUAAUAUUCAGUACCACAGUAAAUCUGCAUCUGUCAAAGGAUUAUUUGUAGGUGUAAAACCACCAAUGCACCCACUUCCAUUUAGUACGUAUGUAAAAGUAGUCCUUCCCUGUAAAAUACAGCACCUUUGAUGUCAUUGUUUAAUUGAACUAAGAUACACAUUUGCAGAAAUGGGGGUUGGCCUAUUCCAUGGCUUCUUGAGAAAAAUAAUGAGGGGUGUCACGGGGUAUGACUAUAUAGGUCUUGUAGAGGAGAAACAGGCGCAUCUUUUGCGCAAGGUAUCGAAGGGCGCUAUGUUCAAAAAUCUGAAACUAGAGCUCAAAAUUUGAAAAAAAUUUGUUAAAAACAGGGGAAAUGGCCUAUUCCAUGGCUUCUAGAGAAAAAUAAUGAGGGGUGUCACGGGGUAUGACUAUAUAGGUCUUGUAGAGGAGAAACAGGCGCAUCUUUUGCGCAUGGUAUCGAAGGGCGCUAUGUUCAAAAAUCUGAAACUAGAGCUCAAAAUUUGAAAAAAAAAAUUGUUAAAAACAGGGGGGUUGGCCUAUUCCAUGGCUUCUAGAGAAAAAUAAUGAGGGGUGUCACGGGGUAUGACUAUAUAGGUCUUGUAGAGGAGAAACAGGCGCAUCUUUUGCGCAAGGUAUUGAGGGGCGCUAUGUUCAAAAAUCUGAAACUAGAGCUCAAAAUUUGAAAAAAAAAAUUGUUAAAAACAGGGGGUUGGCCUAUUCAAUGGUUUCUAGGGAAAAAUAAUGAGGGGUGUCACGGGGUAUGACAAUAUAGGUCUUGUAGAAGAGAAACAGGCGCAUCCUUUGCGCAAGGUAUCGAAGGGCGCUAUGUUCAAAAAUCUGAAACUAGAGCUCAAAAUUUGAAAAAAAAUGUUAAAAACAGGGGGGUUGGCCUAGUCCAUGGCUUCUAGAGAAAAAUAAUGAGGGGUGUCACGGGGUAUGACUAUAUAGGUCUUGUAGAGGAGAAACAGGCGCAUCUCUUGCGCAAGGUAUCGAAGGGCGCUAUGUUCAAAAAUCUGAAACUAGAGCUCAAAAUUUGAAAAAAAUUGUUUAAAACAGGGGGGUUGGCCUAUUCCUUGGUUUCUAGAGAAAAAUAAUGAGGGAUGUCACGGGGUAUGUCUAUAUAGGUCUUGAAGAAGAGAAACAGGCGCAUCUUUUGCGCAAGGUAUCGAAGGGCGCUAUGUUCAAAAAUCUGAAACUAGAGCUCAAAAUUUGAAAAAAAAAAUUGUUAAAAACAGGGGGUUGGCCUAUUCAAUUGUUUCUAGGGAAAAAUAAUGAGGGGUGUCACGGGGUAUGACAAUAUAGGUCUUGUAGAAGAGAAACAGGCGCAUUUUUUGCGCAAGGUAUCGAAGGGCGCUAUGUUCAAAAAUCUGAAACUAGAGCUCAAAAUUUGAAAAAAAAUUUUGAAAACAGGGGGGUUGGCCUAUUCAAUGGCUUCUACAGAAAAAUAAUGAGGGGUGUCACGGGGUAUGACUAUAUAGGCCUUGUAGAAGAGAAACAGGCGCAUCUUUUGCGCAAGGUAUCGAAGGGCGCUAUGUUCAAAAAUCUGAAACUAGAGCUCAAAAUUUGAAAAAUAAAUUGUUAAAAACAGGGGGGUUGGCCUAUUCCAUGGCUUCUAGAGAAAAAUAACGAGGGGUGUCACGGGGUAUGACUAUAUAGGUCUUGUAGAGGAGAAACAGGCGCAUCUCUUGCGAAAAAAAUCGAAAGGCGCUUUGUUCAAAAUUCUGAAACUAGAGCUCAAAAUUUGAAAAAAAAUGUUAAAACAGGGGGGUUGGCCUAUUCUAUGGCUUCUAGAGAAAAAUAACGAGGAGUGUCACGGGGUAUGACUAUAUAGGUCUUGUAGAGGAGAAACAGGCGCAUCUCUUGCGC